rnacentral:rRNA from 1 species
GAUCAUGGCUCAGGAUGAACGCUGGCGGCGUGCUUAACACAUGCAAGUCGAGCGAAGCACUUAAGUUCGAUUCUUCGGAUGAAGACUUUUGUGACUGGGCGGCGGACGGGUGAGUAACGCGUGGGUAACCUGCCUCAUACAGGGGGAUAACAGUUAGAAAUGGCUGCUAAUACCGCAUAAGACCACAGUACUGCAUGGUACAGUGGUAAAAACUCCGGUGGUAUGAGAUGGACCCGCGU